GACGAACGCUGGCGGCGUGCUUAACACAUGCAAGUCGAACGGAAAGGCCCUGCUUUUGUGGGGUGCUCGAGUGGCGAACGGGUGAGUAACACGUGAGUAACCUUCCCUUGACUUUGGGAUAACUUCAGGAAACUGGGGCUAAUACCGGAUAGGAGCUCCUGCUGCAUGGUGGGGGUUGGAAAGUUUCGGCGGUUGGGGAUGGACUCGCGGCUUAUCAGCUUGUUGGUGGGGUAGUGGCUUACCAAGGCUUUGACGGGUAGCCGGCCUGAGAGGGUGACCGGCCACAUUGGGAAUGAGAUACGGGCCAGAGUGCUAAGGGAGGCAGCAGUGGGGAAUAUGGCACAAUGGGCGGAAGCCUGAUGCAGCAACGCCGCGUGCGGGAUGAAGGCCUUCGGGUUGGAAACCGCUUUCGGCUGUGACGAAGCGGGAGUGACGGGAAUGGGUAAAGAAGCACCGGCUAAAUACGUG
rnacentral:rRNA from 1 species